GUCGAGGGUAAAGGCUCGACAUUGUGCGAUAUUCGGGAAUCCUCGUUCCAAUCGAUCCACACCGGGCUCGACUCCUCGCCGACGCAAUUCUUUUCCGUUCCCCUUCUAAAAUAAACGACACAGCACUCGUCCUUCCCGAGCGAGCCCCAAAUCCAACCCACCGAGCCCCCGGCGGCGGCGGAGGUAAGCCUUCUCCCGCCCGCCUCCUCCUUCUCCGGCGGCGGUGGCCAUCUCCCGGCCGCCGACCUGCCUGCUCCCGGCGGUACUUUCCCGCCCCGCCUCCCUCCCCUCUCACCGCUCUUCCUUUGCGCGCGUGUACUGCACGUCAGCAGUGGAAGAGACCCGGUGACGGGCGGACGCGACCGGCGGCGCACCGCUCCUCCCAGUGCAGUCGCCUGCUGCCGGAGACGCGCCCGCGGCUAUUCAGGUGAAGCUCGUCAACAAGCAGACCACUUGGUCCCGAUCUGCUGUUCAAGGUCACUGGGUGCAGCGCCGGCAGGCUCCUGCCCUCCUCCAACCGCCCCGCUCACUGCAGGCCGCUCGCAACCACAAGGACGAAGCUUCGGAGGCGCACCUCCACCCGAGCAGCGGCGGCGCCGUAGCUAGCAGUAGCAGCUCCGCACCUCCUCACUACAUGAUUGGUAACACCUGUGCUUGCAAGGACCAGCCUUGUAACCUGUGAGACUCGAAGUAAAAGCACCUACAAGGCUACAAGAAACUGAACAUUUUUCCUCCUUGAAUUUUUUUUCAGUUUAAACUUCAACUGAAGGUGUUGUUACCUGUGACCUGUUUAGGAUCGAGCAUAUAUAUUUUCAGGCGUCGAAGCUGGAGAUGUGCUAACUUAUUUGUGUUUUCUGCCGAUGAGAAGAUGAAUGAUUGGGUUUUUUUUUUGAGUGAAUGAUUGGUUUAUUGCUGGUGGAACUUGAUUGUGUUGAAAUGUCGAUUCAGAGUUUGUAACUGUAUAUUACUCCC